rnacentral:rRNA from 1 species
AACAAACGCUGGCGGCAGGCUUAACACAUGCAAGUCGAACGCCCGUAGCAAUACGGGAGUGGCGGACGGGUGAGUAACGCGUGGGAACGUGCCCUGAGGUACGGAAUAACUGCGGGAAACUGCAGCUAAUACCGUAUGAGCCCCGCAAGGGGGCAAGAUUUAUCGCCUUAGGGGCGGCCCGCGUCGGAUUAGCUAGUUGGUGGGGUAACGGCUUACCAAGGCUUCGAUCCGUAGCUGGUCUGAGAGGACGAUCAGCCACACUGGGACUGAGACACGGCCCAGACUCCUACGGGAGGCAGCAGUGGGGAAUCUUGCGCAAUGGGGGCAACCCUGACGCAGCCAUGCCGCGUGAAUGAUGAAGGCCUUAGGGUUGUAAAGUUCUUUUGCCCGUGACGAUGAUGACGGUAACGGGAGAAUAAGCUCCGGCUAACUUCGUGCCAGCCGCCGCAGUAACAC